CAAAAGGAAGGAGGGAAGUUCCCUUUGUCUGGGUCAGUUUCAGUUUCAGCCGGAGUGGAAAAGAUCAAGGAAUCAGUUCUUAUCAGAGUAGAAAAUUAGACUUCAUAAAACUCAAAUGAAGUGUAGCAAUGGCUGGACCUUCAGGGAUAAACCCAUCAAUACAAUUGCAAAUACACUUCUUGAAAGGACCAUACGCAUGGCCAUAAGGCUAACAUUAUGACUUUACAUUUGACCAUUUUUUGUCUUAUAGCAAUGUCAUUUUCAUGCUAGAUUUCAAAUGCACCCUGACAAUACAGCUAUCAUGCUUUAGUUUUGUUAUUAAUGCUUCCCCAUUUUACUAUUGUUUUACUUUUCUGUAGAAAUGUUUAGUUCCUAAUUUGGCUGGUACCCAGCGUUUUCUGCUGUCUUUGUAAUUUAUAAGUUUGCCGAUUCUCAGUUAUAUGAAUGAAAAAAGAAUCUUCCCCAUGAAAAACAAUUUGCAAUUGCUUAAUAUGACCUGAUGAAUGUGCUAAUUAUUUCACAGAAGCAGAUAUGCUGUCACCUUUCAUUGUUGAAAGCUGCAUGCCAGACGUUAGCUCUAUCGAAAUACACGCCAUGCCUGUUUAAUGUAUAAAAAUGAUCUCGCCCUUACAUAAUGAAUGCUUGAUUUGUUCACAAUACAAUGAAUUGCACAAGUCUU